CUGUGUGGAAUGAGGAGCAGCCUGCUCACCAUGGCCUGGUCACCCUUGCUCCUUGUGCUGAUCUGUCACUGCACAGGUUCCCUCUCCCAGCCUGUGCUGACUCAGCCACACUCUGUGUCUGCAUCUCCUGGAGCCACAGCCAGACUCACCUGCACCUUCAGCAGCGGAUUCAGUGUUGGUGACUUUGUCAUACGCUGGCUCCAGCAGAACUCAGGAAGCGCUCCACGGUAUCUGCUGUCUUACAAAUCAGACUCAGACAAGCACCAGGGCUCGGGAGUCCCCAGCCGCUUCUCUGGGUCCAAAGACACCUCGGCCAAUGCAGGGCUCCUGCUCAUCUCUGGCCUACAGCCCGAGGAUGAGGCCGACUAUCACUGUUAUACGUGGCACAGCAGCAGUAGUACUUACACGAUGCUCCAGAGUCAUAGGGAAGACAGGUCUGCCUAUUUGUGGCUUCAGAUCCUGCUUGUGUGA